UAAUACGUAGGGUGCGAGCGUUAAUCGGAAUUACUGGGCGUAAAGCGUGCGCAGGCGGUUCGUGAAGUCCGAUGUGAAAGCCCUGGGCUUAACCUAGGAAUGGCAUUGGAAACUGGCGGGCUAGAGUGCGGCAGAGGGGGGUGGAAUUCCUGGUGUAGCAGUGAAAUGCGUAGAGAUCAGGAGGAACACCGAUGGCGAAGGCAGCCCCCUGGGUUGACACUGACGCUCAGGCACGAAAGCGUGGGGAGCAAACAGG
rnacentral:rRNA from 1 species